rnacentral:rRNA from 1 species
AGAGUUUGAUCAUGGCUCAGAAUGAACGUUGGCGGCGUGGAUUAGGCAUGCAAGUCGAGCGGUAAGGCCCCUUCGGGGGUACACGAGCGGCGGAAGGGUCAGUAAUGCGUGGAUUACCUACCCCCGGGACAGGGAUAACCGUGCUAACGUGCGGCUAAUACCUGAUAACGUCUCCGGACCAAAGGUGUGACUCCGCCCGAGGAUGGGUCCACGUCCUAUUAGCUAGUUGGUGAGGUAAUGGCUCACCAAGGCCAAGAUGGGUAGCAGGUGUGAGAGCACGACCUGCGACACUGGGACUGAGACACUGCCCAGACACCUACGGGUGGCUGCAGUCGAGAAUCUUCUGCAAUGGGCGAAAGCCUGACAGAGCGACGCCGCGUGCGGGAUGAAGGCCUUCGGGUUGUAAACCGCUGUCAGUGGGGAGCAAAUCAUAAGGGGCUAUCCCCUUAUGUUGAGCGAUCCGCAGAGGAAGCGCAGGCUAAGUUCGUGCCAGCAGCCGCGGUAAGACGAACUGCGCAAACGUUAUUCGGAAUUACUGGGCUUAAAGAGUCCGUAGGCGGCGUGUUAGGUGGGGUGUGAAAUCCCUCGGCCCAACCGAGGAAUUGCGCUCCAAACCGGCACGCUAGAGGAAGGUAGAGGUGAGCGGAACUGAUGGUGGAGCGGUGAAAUGCGUUGAUAUCAUCAGGAACACCGGAGGCGAAGGCGGCUCACUGGGCCUUUUCUGACGCUGAGGGACGAAAGCUAGGGGAGCGAACGGGAUUAGAUACCCCGGUAGUCCUAGCUGUAAACGAUGAGCACUAGGUCGAGGAACUCCCACAGUUCCUUGGCCGUAGCGAAAGUGUUAAGUGCUCCGCCUGGGGAGUAUGGUCGCAAGGCUGAAACUCAAAUGAAUUGACGG